rnacentral:rRNA from 1 species
AUUGAACGCUGGCGGAAUGCUUUACACAUGCAAGUCGAACGGAAGCACGGACUUCGGUCUGGUGGCGAGUGGCGAACGGGUGAGUAACAUAUCGGAACGUAUCCAAUAAUGGGGGAUAACUAAUCGAAAGGUUGGCUAAUACCGCAUACGCCCUACGGGGGAAAGCUAGGGACCUUCGGGCCUGGCGUUAAUGGAGCGGCCGAUAUCUGAUUAGCUAGUUGGUGGGGUAAAGGCCCACCAAGGCGACGAUCAGUAGCUGGUCGGAGAGGACGACGAGCCACACUUGAACUGAGACACGGUCCAGACUCCUACGGGAGGCAGCAGUGGGGAAUUUUGGACAAUGGGCGCAAGCCUGAUCCAGCCAUUCCGCGUGAGUGAAGAAGGCCUUCGGGUUGUAAAGCUCUUUCGCAAGGGAAGAAAACUUAGCCUCUAACAUAGGCUGAGGUUGACGGUACCUUGGUAAGAAGCACCGGCUAACUACGUGCCAACCGCCGCGGUAA